rnacentral:lncRNA from 1 species
GUUUUCUGUAGUUUUAAUUAUAGAGGUCUUUCACCUUAUUUGUUAGACUCCCAAGUAUUUCAUUUUUUUGAGGCUGUUGUGAAUGGCAUAGAUUUCCUACUUUUUCUGUCAGCCAAUUAAUCAUUGGUGUGUAAGAAUUCAAUUGGUUUAUGGGUGUUAAAUUUAUAUCCUUCUUCUUGGACCUCCUGGAUGAACAGGAGGACUAUUCUCCCAUAGGUUGCAUUCGAGAUUGGAGAACAUGUAUCAAACAGAAAGAAGAGUGUAAGGCUUCCCUGCAGGAAGGGAGAGCUGGACACACCAUGGAUCUGGGACUGAUGCUGGUUCUUUGUCUAGAGACCUGCCCUGUCACAGCCUGUACAGCCAGUGGGACUUGGCUGGGGUGGACUGUAUUGUGGAGACAGGAAAUUAAACAGGAGCUAUGGGAAACAGAGGCCAGGCUUCUGCCUGCCCACAGUGCCAUGCCUUUCAGCCUGGGCACCCAGAUGGACCUAGAGGAUUUCCAUAAGUCUCCAGCUGCUGUUGCCUUUUGUGCAGCUACACAUGAGUGGCUUGAACCUGGAGCACUGUGCUCACUACCUGCAGGCCCAGCUUGAGGAUGCGAAGUGCAGCAGGAAGAGGAGGACUGGGGUGGGUAUACAAGGGUAAGGAGGGU